AAGCAUCAAAACUCAUUCUCUCUUCUCCAGUCUCUCCUAGUUCACUCUCAUCUUCUCAGUGUCCUGAAUUGCUCUAUGUCUCCAUGUCCUCUCACACCGACCUGUUAAGACACCUGAGCGUUCAGAAUGUGCGUAGCGUCUUUGGACAAGGACUAGCUGUCUGGUCCAGCCUGGAGGAAGAGGAUGAGGGGGAGGGGGGUCGAGUAAAACAUAGAGAGCCACCAGGCAGAUGUUUGGAAUAUGUGGUGCCCAAUGGCAUCAUAGAAGAAGGCAGGGCAAUGAUGGAGGAAGGGCACAGAUAUCUAGAGCCUAUUUAAAGGGCUUGCAGACACUGAGACUGGCCAUUAGAUGUGUUUCUAAAGGCAACCAGCUCUUCCACACAUCUGUCUGUCUGUUUGGUCGCCUGUUCUUCUCUGUGUGUCCGUCUGUCUGUCUCGUCUGCUGCCAUGUUGGGACAGAGACUCCUGCAGACUUCAGUGGUGCUGUGGCUGGCACAGGUCACUUUACAAGGAGGUGUCAGACCCCAAACUGGAGCUCUAGGGAGAUUGGUGCCAAGUCGAGGUGCUAGUCUUGGUGCUGUUGGUCUGGGUGCCAAGCCAGGAGUAGGUGCUGGUAUUCUCGGAAGCCGUGGCUAUGGAGGCAAAGCUGCAAAGGCAGGCACUGGCCGUUACCUUGGAGCGGGAGGAUACAGGCCGUUACAAAGUAGAGGAGGAAUGAAGCAAGGCUACGGAGGAGCUCUCGGAGGUUAUGGUGCUGCUCUUGGAGCAGGACUUGGGAACGGUCUGGGAAUGGCUCUGGGAGCUCAGGCAGGAAAACUUGGACGAGGAUACACUAAUGGCUAUGGACUCCAGCCAGGUUACGGCGCUGGUGUAUACCCUGGCGUUGGACGCGGCAGUGGGCUUGGAGGAGGACUACCCAUUUCACAGGGGGGGAAAGGCAAUGGAUAUGGUCAAACUCCAGGAGUACCAAAUGGACAAGGUGCUCCAGUCAACGGUUACGCCCCCUCACCUCUGGGUCCCACUGCACAGGGAGGGUAUGGCUCUGGAGCUGGAGUAAUGAAUGGAAAGGGAGCUAAAGCUAAUGGCUACGGCCCGGCCGCAGGAGUGUCUAAUGGAGCCGGAGGAAUGAGCAACGGCUAUGGACCUGGGCCAGCAGGAGUAAACGGACAAGGUGGUAAAGGAGGAGCCAUGUUCCGUGGAAAUGGUGGCAAACCGUCCAAGACUGGAUAUAAUCUUGGAUUGGGCAGCUAUCCCGGAGCAGGACUAACUAAUGGAUAUGGAGCAGGUCUGGGAGCUGGAGGCUUUGCAUCUCCAACACUGGGACUCAGCGCUGGCCUGGGAACUGGUCUCGGCACAGACGCCAAGUCUGCUAAGUAUGGUGGCGCCACUCCUGGUUCUGUGCUCGGUGCUGCUGGAGGUCAGCCAGUUGUGUCUGCGGGACUCGGCCCUCAAGGCAAAACAGGUGGCUAUGGAGGCGCUCCUUACGUGGGACAGACAGCAGGCCUGGUACCUGACGCUUCUCUGGGUGGAACUGGUGGAGUCCUGGAACCUGUGACUGGUGGAGGUGUGGGUCAGUAUCCUUACAAUGGAGCAGGAGUUGUCCCAGCCGGACUGGAAGGUGAAAAUGGAUAUGGAUACGGACCUCAGCAGCUCAGUAUGGGAACUGAUGGAGGCAAAUUAGCAUAUGGGGAGGGAGGAGCCUAUGCAGCACAGCCAGCAGGCUAUGGUGCAGCCAUGGGGGCCGGAGGUCAGGGUCCUUACGGAGGAGGAAAGGACGAGAGCAAGUACAACCUGGGUGGUCUCUACGGAAACAGAAUCAAAGGCUGAUGUCUCAUGUGACUUGAGCGUGAAUUUGGCUUCGUCCCCAUCCGUGUGUCCCCACAUCCUCCAUCACUGUUUAGUUUAAUGUGCCAGUGUGUGUCAUCCGCCUGCUGUGUUUUAGCUGUAAUUUAGUCCUUGUCAUCCUUGUCCUUGUUUGUUCAUGUGUGUAUGUGUGUGUGUGACUAUGUGUUUGUAUGUUUGUGUGUGUGUGAGAGUGUGUGUGUUCUUAUUGUAAUGAUGGUCCUAGAUUGUGUCGUUUGUGUUUCCUCCCUCCUUCUUCGCUGUUUUUGGGAGCGUGUCCGACUCCUGUUGUUGGUCCCUGUAUCCAACUAAAACCUUUUGCGCACUACUUUUGGUUGUUACUGUAAUUCUUAUCAAGACUAAACAUGUCCCCUCACUUCUGUGACUAAUUGUGUUGUUUCCACAAACAUGUGAAGAUUGACAAAAGUGAUAUAUAUGAACAUAUUGACAACUUGUAAAUGGAUAUAGAGAA
ensembl:lncRNA